rnacentral:rRNA from 1 species
GAUGAACGCUGGCGGCGUGCCUAAUACAUGCAAGUCGAGCGAACGGACGAGAAGCUUGCUUCUCUGAUGUUAGCGGCGGACGGGUGAGUAACACGUGGAUAACCUACCUAUAGACUGGGAUAACUUCGGGAAACCGGAGCUAAUACAGGAUAAUAUUUUGAACCGCAUGGUUCAAAAGUGAAAGACGGUCUUGCUGUCACUUAUAGAUGGAUCCGCGCUGCAUUAGCUAGUUGGUAAGGUAACGGCUUACCAAGGCAACGAUGCAUAGCCGACCUGAGAGGGGGAUCGGCCACACUGGAACUGAGACACGGUCCACACUCCUACGGGAGGCAGCAGUAGGGAAUCUUCCGCAAUGGGCGAAAUCCUGACGGAGCAACGCCGCGUGAGUGAUGAAGGUCUUCGGAUCGUAAAACUCUGUUAUUAGGGAAGAACAUUUGUGUAAGUAACUGUGCACAUCUUGACGGUACCUAAUCAGAAAGCCACGGCUAACUACGUG